rnacentral:rRNA from 1 species
AUUGAACGCUGGCGGCAUGCCUUACACAUGCAAGUCGAACGAGACCUUCGGGUCUAGUGGCGCACGGGUGCGUAACGCGUGGGAAUCUGCCCCUUGGUUCGGAAUAACAGCGAGAAAUUGCUGCUAAUACCGGAUAAUGACGUAAGUCCAAAGAUUUAUCGCCAAGGGAUGAGCCCGCGUAGGAUUAGCUAGUUGGUGUGGUAAAGGCGCACCAAGGCGACGAUCCUUAGCUGGUCUGAGAGGAUGAUCGAGCCACACUGGGACUGAGACACGGCCCAGACUCCUACGGAGGCAGCAGUGGGAAUUUUGGACAAUGGCGCAAGCCUGAUCCAGCAAUGCCGCGUGCAGGAUGAAGGCCUUCGGUGUAAC